CUUACCAGAAUCCAAUCCACCCACAAGUAGCCCUUGAGUAUUGUCUCCAGACCCUCCUUUGGGCUCAGGAGAGGAGGAACUGGCCCACCUUUGGAAAAGCGCACUUACCAACUCCUAGGCAAGCUUAAUCGGGCCAAUUUGUAACUUUCAGCCAUGAUACCUCUUUUCUGUGAAAGAGAACCAAUUCAGUCUUUCACAAUAACUGAAUCAAGCUAAAUGGUAUUCACCGAGUAUUUAUCAAGGCCACAAAGACACCGAGGAAAGAAUCCUGAUGUACAGUCUGGCAGAAGACCUGACUCUGAGCACCUGCUCGGCCACCUGCUAGCUCUAUCAGACAAGGCAGCGGACCAGGUCUGUUUCCUCUGAAAAAUGAGGAUCAUAUUUACACUACCCACACCUCUGAGGGCUGUCAAAAAUCUUAAUAGGGAGAGAAAUUUCAUUCAAAACAACUACGUUGUUAAAAAUGAGUCCAUGCGCCAGGACACAAGCAAAAUUCUAAUUACAAGAACAAAGACAGGUCUAAAUAACUGGAGAUAUUGUUCAUAGUUGGGACUUGAAGAGAUAUUAAAAUGACACGACUACCUUAAUGUAUUCUGUAUAAUGUAAUGCAAAAUUCUAAAGGGAAAAUGUAUAAGGCUAGAAAAAAAAUUCAUCUAACAAAACCAAAGGUCAAGAAUUUCAAGGGAAAAAAUGAAAAAAGGAUGACCCCAUUUCAAACUAUAUUUAAAAAGCAAGAAAGAGGGAAAUGAUUUCCUAUUAGAGUGCCAUGGACAUGGAGGAGAUCCAGACCACAGUAAUGCUGAAGAGAGCUUGUCAAUGGAGGCUAAGAUCCGCCAGAUGCCACUGACAUCGCACUGGUGGCACCGAGCCCUGGACCGUGACAGGGUCAGUCUCUUGGAGGAGUCCCAUAAAUGCUCCAGGGCUUGGCCUAAAUCCCCACACGGGGAAGAUCAGUUGGAUGAAAAAGGUCUGCUGUCCCAAACAUGGCCCGAGCGUGGCUGGGGACGGCCCCUAGCACCCAGACCAGGCAGGGGGUGUGUCCGGCACGACUGUGGCUGUCAGCCUUCAGGAGGCCUGUGGGGAAAACAAGAGAACGUGCCGUAUUCUGCUGGGUUCCCGAGACUAAACCGAGGAGCAGGUUUGGGUCCAGAGCAGGGGGCCAUGCUCUGCCCCUCAGGCUCCCGCAUCCUGAGCACUUGACCCAUAAAUGUUUAAUGAGCCGGCUCAAAAGAAGAACUCCCCCAGAGGAAAAGCCCUCCCCAAAGGGAAGCACUCUGACUCCAUCCCGCCUCGGUCAGAUGCCCGCCGGCUAGAAGGGAC
rnacentral:lncRNA from 1 species